AGUGAACGCUGGCGGUAGGCCUAACACAUGCAAGUCGAACGGCAGCACAGGAGAGCUUGCUCUCUGGGUGGCGAGUGGCGGAUGGGUGAGGAAUACAUCGGAAUCUACUCUGUCGUGGGGGAUAACGUAGGGAAACUCACGCUAAUACCGCAUACGACCUACGGGUGAAAGCAGGGGACCUUCGGGCCUUGCGCGAUUGAAUGAGCCGCUGUCGGAUUAGCUAGUUGGCGGGGUAAAGGCCCACCAAGGCGACGCUCCGUAGCUGGUCUGAGAGGAUGAUCAGCCACACUGGAACUGAGACACGGUCCAGACUCCUACGGGAGGCAGCAGUGGGGAAUAUUGGACAAUGGGCGCAAGCCUGAUCCAGCCAUACCGCGUGGGUGAAGAAGGCCUUCGGGUUGUAAAGCCCUUUUGUUGGAAAGAAAUCCAGCUGGCUAAUACCCGGUUGGGAUGACGGUACCCAAAGAAUAAGCACCGGCUAACUUCGUGCCAGCAGCCGCUGUAA
rnacentral:rRNA from 1 species